UACUUUGAAGGUAAAUAAUUAAUUUAAUUACCAACUAUUAUUGUACUUGUUUUUUGUUUUUCGUUCUUUCAACCCAUUCAAGGAAUAAAUAGAUUUGACAAAUAUGGAUUCAGUGGUAUAAGCUGUAAUAACCUCAGUGUGUAGCCAACCAUGAUGAAGCUUAGAACACAUUUUCUACUUUUAUUCAUUCCUGGGACCCUUGCUCAGAUCUAUAAAUUUCAAUAUGGCUCAGAAUUGAACUAUUUGGAGCUCGCUGGUAACAAUAUCAUUCCAGGCUUACCACAGAACUUUACUUUAUGCUCCUCUCUCUACCUCAUCAAAUAUCAAGAGUAUGAUGGACCUUUGCAGCUGAUUCUUGAUUCUGGAAAACAAUGGAUUUCUUUCUAUAUUUAUCAAGCAAAAGUGGGAACAGAAAUUAUCAUUUGGUUUUAUGUAAGAGGAGUCUGGCAUAACUUUGGACUAACCUCAGUGAUUAAAAGGGAAACAU